UGCUGGGGUACACGAGUGGCGAACGGGUGAGUAACACGUGGGUGACCUGCCCUGCACUUCGGGAUAAGCCUGGGAAACUGGGUCUAAUACCGGAUAGGACCGCACCGUGAGGGUGUGGUGGAAAGUUUUUUCGGUGUGGGAUGGGCCCGCGGCCUAUCAGCUUGUUGGUGGGGUAAUGGCCUACCAAGGCGGCGACGGGUAGCCGGCCUGAGAGGGUGGACGGCCACAUUGGGACUGAGACACGGCCCAGACUCCUACGGGAGGCAGCAGUGGGGAAUAUUGCACAAUGGGCGGAAGCCUGAUGCAGCGACGCCGCGUGGGGGAUGACGGCCUUCGGGUUGUAAACUCCUUUCACCAUCGACGAAGGGUUUCUGACGGUAGAUGGAGAAGAAGCACCGGCUAACUACGUGCCAGCAGCCGCGGUAAUACGUAGGGUGCGAGCGUUGUCCGGAAUUACUGGGCGUAAAGAGCUCGUAGGUGGUUUGUCGCGUCGUCUGUGAAAUUCCGGGGCUUAACUCCGGGCGUGCAGGCGAUACGGGCAUAACUUGAGUACUGUAGGGGAGACUGGAAUUCCUGGUGUAGCGGUGAAAUGCGCAGAUAUCAGGAGGAACACCGGUGGCGAAGGCGGGUCUCUGGGCAGUAACUGACGCUGAGGAGCGAAAGCAUGGGGAGCGAACAGGAUUAGAUACCCCUGGUAGUCCAUGCCGUAAACGGUGGGCGCUAGGUGUGGGUUUCCUUCCACGGGAUCCGUGCCGUAGCUAACGCAUUAAGCGCCCCGCCUGGGGAGUACGCCGCAAGGCUA
rnacentral:rRNA from 1 species